GGGUUAAGUCCCGCAACGAGCGCAACCCCUACUGCCAGUUACUAGCAGGUAAAGCUGAGGACUCUGGCGGAACUGCCGGUGACAAACCGGAGGAAGGUGGGGAUGACGUCAAGUCAUCAUGGCCCUUAUGUCCAGGGCUACACACGUGCUACAAUGGCCGGUACAACGUGACGCGAAACCGCGAGGUAAGAGCGAAGCACGAAAAGCCGGCCGUAGUUCGGAUUGAAGUCUGAAACCCGACUUCAUGAAGUUGGAAUCGCUAGUAAUCGCGCAUCAGCAUGGCGCGGUGAAUACGUUCCCGGGGCUUGUACACACCGCCCGUCACACCAUCCGAGUUGGAGGUACCCGAAGCCGGUAGUCUAACCUUAGGGGGGACGCUGUCGAAGGUACGUUUAGUGAGGAGGGUGAAGUCGUAACAAGGUAGCCGUACUGGAAAGUGCGGCUGGAUCACCUCCUUUCU
rnacentral:rRNA from 1 species